AUGGAGGGGAGCGCGGGGCCUCGCCGGAGUUCCACCCAGGAGGUAGGCAGCCCAGGCGGCGAAGCGGACCUCAUCAGCGCGCUCCCCGACGAGGUGCUCCUCCUCUUCCUCGCCCGCCUCCCCUGCGCCGGCGCCGCCGCGCGCACCAGCGUCCUCUCCCGCCGGUGGCGCGGCCUCUGGGCGCUCCUCCGCCAGAUCGUCUUCCGCGACGUGCCCUUCCGCUCGCUCGAGGCGGCGCUCGGCCGCGUCCCGCCUCCCCCGCACGCGGUUUCCCUCCUCUAAAUCUCCGUCCCCAAGGAGCAGCGGACAGACAGCGCCGGCGUCAACUCGCUGCUCCGCGCCGCCGCGCGGCUGGAGCCGGAGAAGCUCGACUUCCGCCUCCCCUCCCACUUAACCGACCCGCCUUCCGAAAGCAGUCUCGUCGCCGUCGACCUGCCUUGCUCGCACCGCGCCACCUCCAUCUCGCUGGGCCUCUCCACCCCCUUCUCCCUCCGCGUGCCAGCCGGCGCCCAGUUCCCCGGACUCGAGGCGCUGUCCCUGUCGCACUGCACUACCGAGCUCGACGCCCUGCUCUCCUGCUGCCCGCGCCUGCGCACGCUCCGCGUCACCAGGGAUUUGUUUCCUAACUACAAGUGCGACAUUAGGGUCAACUCCCCAUCGCUGCAGGAGCUUGUUGUGCACCACCGGAUCAGAGAGACACAACAUGUGGACAUUAUUGCGCCCGCACUUAAGCAACUGGCCCUCUCAUUUGCCAAUGGCGGCGAGAUCAGCAUCUCCGUCUUGGCACCAAUGGUGGAGAAGGUUUCGUGGAACUGCUGCUACUUGGGCCUCUUGGGGCACCACAUUGUGUUUGGUCUUUGGAGCCUCAAGAGGCUGUGGCUACAGACGGCAGAGAGACAAGGACAGCUAUCCUCGCUGCAAAUUCAUGCCCGUGCGGACUCGUUUUUACACGCUCAGGCGGACAACUUUACGCGGGAGAUAGAGAAACAUAUGGUUGCUGCCUUCUCUUGUUUAGAGCUACAACUCAGAGCAAAUGGGCAUGCUUUUGGAGGGUUUGUCUUUCAUCUCCUUGGGAUGGAUAAAAUUCGUGCUGCUACACGGAGGCUUAAGGUCAUCUUGAAGAGAUCAGCGAUGGAAGGAGGAUGCCGGCUACAUUGUCCUUGUAAGUUUCGGAACUGGAGGUUUGAGACUAUCUCCUUGGCUGCUCUGAAGGAAGUGGAGUUCGAUGGCUUCGAAGGAGAGGAUCAUGAAUUUGAUUUAUUACAAUUGAUACUUGGAUGUGCACCGACGUUGAAAAGAAUGAGUGUGCAGCUGUCAGAAGAGACCUCGGCAAGUCAUGAGGGAUGCGCAAAGAUAUACAGCAUCUUCAAGGCGUGUUCAUCUGUGAAAUGCGAUGUUUAUCACAGUUCUGGGUUAAUGCACGACAGCCAAAAUUGCCCUUCGAUGAGAUUCUCGGGUGUGUGGAUUCAGGGUGUGCAUUGA
rnacentral:rRNA from 1 species